UUGAGGCUCGGAGAAGUUAGGCAGCAUGAUCCAGGUCAGUUUUCUCCUGUGAAUGAUAGACAUAAUACUCAUCUAAUCAUGAAAUGAACCAUUUGUUUAAAGCACUUCUCACAUAGCAGAUGUUUAAAAAUAUUCAUUAAUGUUCCUUUAUUGUAUUCCUUAUUGUAACCACCUAUAUGAACCUAUGGAUUUCUGAUGUAACAUUAUAAAGUCAACUAAACUAGGGAAUCAAAGCCAAAUGAAUUAGAUGCCUUUAGUUUUGUUGAUCAAAAAUAGAUGGAAAUCUUCAGCCAACCGAAAUCUGGUCACCCAUUUGCAGAGUGUGGGCAGGACUGACAGAAAGUUAAAUCUGUCAGGCAUGUUGGAGAGAGAGUUAAGCACUGACAACAGGUACAUCCCAGCUCAGUGAUUUUCAAAAUGUUCUGGAGAGCCUUAGGCUUCUCUGGAAAGCCUCAGGGAGUGUCAAAGAGAAGAGGUGAUGGGGACAGGGGCCAGCUUGACUCUUGCUCUAUUUGAACACUUCACCGUCUCUUUAAGUUACUGCUUGAAUCAUGGCAUCCAAGCCACACAGUGGGAAUUAUGACCCAUGGACUCAUGGGUCAAAGUCAAUUUCUCUUCCUCCUCAUUUGUGCAAAACCAGGGCUUCUGCUUCUGCAGGUACUCGUAUCUGUUGUGUGUACCCUGAAAGGGACUGUGAUCAGUAUAGCCAUUGGUGGCCCUCAGCAUGGGGCUCAGGCAUGUGUGGAUUUAUGUAGGCCCACUGACACCCUCUCCUUAGGUCUGACUUUGUCCAUUCACAAGGGCACCCUGCUCCUUUUUCCUACUUUGGUGUUGACUCUCUCUCUCCGCAGAGUUGGAUGCUGAUGUCUCACAGGAGCUCAGCAUGUGAUUUUAAAUUCAGAUGAUCAGAUAGCUAAGAAAGUGCUAAUAGCUUAUGCUUUGGUGCAAUAUGCUUUUUCUGUUUUCUGUACAUAAUCGCCUUCGUAUUUUUCUCCACUUAUCCCCAACUGACAAUAUUUUAAUUAAAAGUUGAGGUGAGAGAACACAGGAAGUCUAUGGAGAAACAUGCCUGCCUUUUGUUUAAUCCUAUCACUCCAAAAAAUACUUCAAGCCUUUUGGUAAGCAAGUAGAGAAUUGGAAAGUGAGAAAAAGCCAGACACAAGGUGUUUUUCAAAAAUAUCUUAUUUUGUUUAUUCUUAUCUUUUUAAGACGAGACUCAGAAUUCAAAUGCCUUUGCUCCCUCAACUCUACAUCAUUGCUUCAAGAAAUGAACAAGAACUUUGAAUCCUUUCAUUCAUAAAUGAUGUAAAAAUAAACAAAUCAUAUGUUUACACAGCAGCAUAUAUAUAUGUUUGUGUCUCUCUCUCUCUCUAUAUAUACUUUUUUGAAUAGCAAAUUCAACACAGGACCUAGGUUAAAUCAAAUAUGAAUUCCAAACCUGAAUCCACUUGAUUAAAUUAAAAACCAAACUCCACUAACUAAAAUUAACAACUCUGCUAACUACUCACUUACCUCUGAUUUUUCCUUUUCUUCUAAAAUCCACAUUCUGAGAAUUGUUUCCUAAAUGAGGCCUCCCAUAUAUUCCUGCUCAUAGGCACACAGCGGGGAGGAGUGCCUCAUUUUAUUUUUUCUAUCAGGCAGUUGUCUCUGUCUGUUCUGCAGAAAAAUAGAAGUUGCAGGAUAACUUGAAAAGACAUUUAUUCCUAGUCCCACUGUCGUAACCUUACAUUUAACUGCUCCCUGCCAGGUAUACAUGGUCUCUCUUUAGAGUUGUCUCCUUCCUGACAUUUUUCCCUAGCCUUGUUUUCAAGGAGAGAAGGAAACACACUCAGAAGCUUUUCCUAGAAGCAUACUUGGUUGACUUUUGCCACUCUUUUCUUUUUCAUGUUAUGGGGUCAUUAAACCCUUCUUUAGCCCAAAGUUUAUUUUCCCAGAGUUGAGCCAGUCCACAAAAGAACUUUGCAAACACACAGAUAGGAGGUGCCAGAAAAAAAAAUAAGGUAUUUUAAGGAUUUCACCUUUCUGUAGAUACAGAUAUUAUUGAAGGCAUCACUGGGUUUUACCAUCCUCUACUUUGGAGACCUUAUAAUUUACACAGGAACUGUUCUUUUGGCAUCAGCCCUACCAUAAACUGAAUGUCUGUGUCUCCCUCAAAUUCAUGUGUUGAAACUUCAUCCCCAGUGUGAUGGAAUUUGGAGGUUGGGGCCUUUGGGAAGUGAUGAGAUCCAGAAGGCAGAACCCUCAUGGGUGAGAUUAGUGCCCUUACACAAAAUACCCCAGAGAGCUCCCGUGCCCCCUCCACCAUGUGAAGGCGCUAUGAGAUGACAGCUAUCUAUGAACCGGGAAGUGAGCUCUCACCAGACACGGAAUCUGCCAGAGCCUUGAUCUUGGACUUUGUAGUCUCCAAAACCCGGAGGGUGGGGGAAAUAGGUGAAGGUGGUCAAAGGGUAGAAAUUUCCAGUUAUAAGAGGAAUAGAUCCUGGGGAUCUAACGUACAGCAUGGUGACUAUAGUUAACAAGCUAUUUUAUAUGCUUGAAAGUUACUGAGAGAGUAGAUCUUAAAUGUUCUUGCCACACACACACAAAACGUAACUAUGUAAGGUGAUGGAUGUGUUAACUAACCUUAUUGUGGUAAUCAUUUUGCAAUAAAUACAUAUAUCAAAUAAUCACGUUGUACACCUUAAACUUACACAAUGUUAUAUGUCAAUUAUAUCUCAAGACAGCUGAAACAUUUUUUUAAAAGGGACCAAUAAAUAUAUAUUUACAAAAAUUUCACAAUUAUGAUUGCUGGACCUAGGGGGUUACAUGUGACUUUUACAAUAAUGCUUGCCAUAAUUAUUGACACACAUGGUAUAAUAAUGAAUAUUUGUUGAGGCAGCUCUGAUUGCCUAGUGAUCAGAGUUUGGUACAUUCCACUUUGGCAGCCCAGGUUUUGUUCCAGGCAUGGAAACACACCACUCAUCUGUCAGUAGCCAUGCUGUGGCAGUGGCUCACGUAGAAGAACUAGAAGGACCUACAACUAGAAUAUACAACUAUGUACUGAGUCUUUGGGAGGGGGAAAAAAAGAGAGGAAGAUUGGCAACAGAUGUUAGCUCAGGGUGAAUCUUGCUCAGCAAAAAAAAAGAAAAAAAUUGUUUUAUUCAUUUAUCCAUCCACCAAUGCAUUUGUCACAGGUCUGUGUCUAUACAGAGCCUGAGGCAAGGAUUCAUGCUGAAGCAAUCAGCAUGCAUCCACUUGGCAGUUAAAGGGAUGGGGAAAAAGAAAGUGAGCUGGGUUAAGAUGAGAGGCAUUCAAAGGAAAGUGGGCUGUGUCUUACCAUAAGCAAGAGACACAGCUGUUUGCUCAGCAGAAUCAAUUACUUGAGAUCACAGGAUGCUUUGGGUCAGAGAAGCUGUUCCUUAAAUUAGUACCUCAGAGGAAUAAAGGAUAAGAGAAUUUAUCUACUGGCUCUUUCUCUUCUUCCAUCUUCUGUCUCUUAUUGGUCAAAGUUUGUCUUAUUGGGAAUUAAUUCUUCCAGACUUCUGGGUUGCUUCUUUUAUCUCCGUUGGCAAGCAGGAUAGAAUCCAUAUCCUAUAUCAUUGGGUGUGAGACUUUAACUGGAUUCAAAGUGAUGUGAUAAGGCAGAAAUUACCUUUAAGAUUAGCAACUUUGCAUCCCAUUUAUAGUAUUUUUACUUAUUCCAAGGCCAUGAGAAUUGUUUUUCUAAGAGCUUGCUGUUUACCAUUCACUUUUAGAUCUACAAUUCAUAUAAAUUUGAUUUCUGUAUAUGGUGUAAAGUAGGGGGUCAGCAUUAAAAGUUGCAUAUCCAACUGGCCCAGCAUCAAUUAUUACAAAGCCUAUCUUUUUCUCACUGCAUUGCAAUUUCACCUCUGGACUUAAAAGAAAAUCUUUCAUUGGUCCCUUAGUCUUUCCUUGCACCAAUAACCAACUAUCUAAAUUGCUGUAAUUUCAUAAUUGUUUUGAUGACUAGUAGUGUAAGUGAAUAACUUUGUUCUUCAAAACAAAGUUUCGACUAUUCUUUGCACUUCUAUACAUUUUACACAUAUGCACACCUGAAAUUUCAUCAGAUCUACAGAUCAAUUUAGGGAGAAUUGAUAACUUUAGGUCAUUGAGUUUUCUAAAUAUAUUAAAUACCACACUGUAUUACUAUUAUUGUUUUGUAUAGACAAUAAAUAUUUAUUUAGAUUCUCCCACCUUAUUUUUUUUAACUUCUUUCUUUGUUGCUCAUUCAAUCUUCUAUUCCCAUGUUUCCAUCUGGGAUCAUUUUCUUUCUGGCCAACCCAUACACUUUAGAAGGAUGCUUAUUUUUUUUUUUCAGUAUUUCUAGUUGUUUUUAGGAGAUUUUUCAGGCUAAUCAACUAUAUUUCCAGAAACGGAAGUCAAUUGAUUCUUUUCAGUAGACUCACCUUCUCUGCUGUAAAAUUCUCAGACUGAACUGGAUGAUCCCUCAGAUCUUUUUAAAAUCCAGAUAUUAUUUUCAACGAAAAUUUAGUAACUUAAAAUUAGUUAUUUUGAACUAACAAGCUCAAUUAGACUUCAAUUAUUCUCUUUAGCCAGAUUGACAGGUAGUGUUAAUGUUUAAAUAUGCAGGGAGUUAAUUUCUUUUAGAAUUGUUGAAAGCACGUGGUUAGCCUACGCUUGCUGAAACAGAAUAUUCUUUACAUAUCUGUAACACUAUUUUCAUUUCUCUAUCAAAUAUCACACCCACGUUUUUCUUUAGUUAUGUAGCCCUUUCCUCAUGAUAUCCUUAUAAUUGCUUUGGGUUUUUGUUUAACAUGUUGUGCUACUUCCUUUCAUUAUGUUUACUUUUGUGUUUGAUUAAUUUUGUCCCUUGAAACAUCACAUGAUCUUCUGCCUGCCAGCUUGGUGGUAACAGUAGUUGUUGUUAUUAUUGCUUUCCUCUAUUUGUUUUGUUAAGGGGGCAAGGAGAGCCCAGGGGCUCUUCCCUGAUAAAACCCUAUUUUGAGUCCAUAAUAGCAUCUACCUUGUUUUUUCCUGAGACAACACACACAGGGUCGUGGUAUCAGAAACAUCCUUGAUGUUAAAAAUGUCUAUUAGCGAAAAUCUCUUCCACAACCAUAAUAUAUUGACUUGGAAAAUUGUUAUAACAUUUCGCUCCCUCAGGCUUCAUUUGGGAUGUGAAAUUUGUAAACAUUACUGUUGUCUCAGAUGUGAAUGUUAGCAAACUAAAUGUCUUUGAAGAAUCUGACAGAUUCACCAAAGCCGAAUUUUAUUUCUAUGGCAAAACAAGUAUCGUCUGUUUGGAUUUAUUAUAUGUAAUUAGGAGCUUACUGGAGUCUAAUGAAGGCUAUCUGUCUAUCACCACUGUUGCAAAACUGUAUCUUUGGCGAUCGAUAUUUUGCGUGUAGAAUAGAAUUUAAUUUUGUGUGUUAGAGAUAUUUUGGUAUUCAGGCAUUGUCAGGCCUCUGGUUUAAGGAAGUUUGAUGGGGUUACUGUGGACUUCAUUGUUCGAAUGAAAAGUUCAGAAUAGAGACUAUAAUGGAAUUUGGAAUCUAUUCUCUGCGUUUGAACACAGUCCAGCCAUUGUAUUAAUACCAAGGCGGAUAGAACAGAGCCGGCCCUACGUGCAAUUUUUCUUACUUUGAAGCAGGCUCCACGAAGAAUUUUUAUGUUUUGUUUUUGAAAAGUAGGUAGAUUAUAUUCUUGGUUCAUCUUUGUUUUGCAGAGGUAAAAUUAGAGUCCUGAGCCUCCUGCUGGCAGAACAAGCUCUCAAUUUCUCACUGUCGAAAUUCAAUCUGAUUUCUAUCUUUUUCACUAAAAAGCUGUCAACAGCAAAUAAGCAUUCCCCAUCAAAGAGCCACAUUCAUUUCUGAGGGAUACAAAUUCCUCUCAUGGGAGAGAAUUCAAGUAAUUUAAAUCGUUUCUGACUUUUAAUUUCUUUCCUAGGAAAUGGGAAAUGAUAUUAGCAUGGACUCUAAGUGCAGUCCAAAAUGAGAGAAAGAAAGACGUGCAGGGAUGCUCUUCAAUGUGACGUCCCCAGGACCUUUAAGCCUCAGAGUACAGCAUGUUUACAAUGCAUAGAACAGUGUUUCCAUCUGCCUUCUUGUUUGCAACUAGCGAUCUAAUCAGAGCUGUAGCUUCAUGCUCUUAAGAUGCAUCAAUACGAAGGCAUUUUUAGAAGCAGACUUGCCAUAGGAGUGUGUAUUGUCACCCUAAGAGAAGGAAAUGCCUCUGAAAUAAAAAAAUGUUUUUCUUUCUUAGAAUUUAGUUUGGGAAAUGGCCCUUUCUUUGGAAAAAAGGUGAAAGUCUAGGUAUUGUCUUAUCUCUUUAUUUUUUCCCUUUUUGGUUUACUUUACUUACUUAUGGUAAAGGUUUAAUGGAGUGCAUUGUUUUGUAGCUGCAUAUUUAUGAGAAGCAAAUGCAUUACUUUGUUUGCAGAACAUCUUUAAAUAGACUUGUAAAAAGGUGAGUUCUUGGUUUUAAACUGUAAAUUUCAUUAUCUUUCAUUCUCUCCUGUCAGUUCAUGCAAACAUUCGCAAUUUGAGAAUCUUCUGAUUGGGAUAAGAAGUGGUAGGCAUGAUUUGCACGUACAAAUAAGUAAGCUACCUGUUACAGUCAAAAGAAAAACUCCCCUUCUGUGCAAAUGUAUUUGACAGUAUUUAGAAAAGAAGCAGCAUUUAAGAAGUAGAUUUGGCGUGAGCUAGAAAUCUACCACAAAGGUUAUCAGAUGACUUGUAGGACUUUGAAAGUCCUCCUUCUUUUCUUAGGAGUAUUCUGAUUAGUCACGUUCCCCAUAAAAUGAAGAUAACUGGAAUUGACUCAGAAUUGCAAGUGGUAUCUCGUUGGCACAGAAUAAAAUGCAAUCCAACUAUAUUUUUUGAUCCAGCAUAUAUAUGUCUGUGUGUAUCUAUCUCCCCAUCUAGCUAUCUAAAUCCUGGAUUCAGAAUUCUCCCUCCACACUUCAAUAUAUUGCUGUUGCAUCUUACUGUUCAAAUUCAACAAUUAGCCUGCCACCAAAGUGCUCUGGGUGAUGCAGUUUGCAAGGGUCCACUUUCCAGAGCCCAGAAUAGGGCAGAAAAGGGAAAAGAACAGAACUAGGGGUACAAAUGAAUAAAAAGGGGUGAAGUUUUGCCAUCCUUCUUGCCCCAUCUCCAGCCCAUCUGCCUGCUUUCUCUGUAUCCUGCCCCUGACCUACCGGCCUUCUCAGCAGCUGCUCUUUUCCCCUCCCAGCUUUCGCACAUGCUGCUCCUUCUUUCUGAGAUUCCUUCUUCCAGUCCGUUUUCAUGUGCAUAGCUUCUUCUCCUUGGUGGCCCUACUGAAACACCAUUUCUCAGGGAGGCUUUGGGAGACCUCAACAUUUCAGAGUCCUAAUUGAUAAAGGAUGCUGAACCAUCGCUCGAAAUGCAGUGAAUUGAGGACAAACUGAAUUUACCAGUCUUCUCAAGUAUGUAACAUGGUACUAAUGGUAAGGGUGCAGUCCAAGAAGAAUGAUUAGCCAAAACCAGGCAGUUGCUAACUUCCUUGUAAGAAGUGGGUUUGCUUAACUGCAGGGCUUCUGUUGUGCUGAAUGGGUGUGCGAUUCAGGGCCAGUGUUGAAUCACUCGGGGCAGGAAAGGAGAUUCUUGGCACCACCACCACUGCUCCUCUACUCAGCCCCUCCUGCAAGUACCCACUGAACAAAUGCUCUCCAUUUAUCCAUCUAGGAGGCUCUACAGUAAGAGAUUGGGGGAGGUUUUUCCACGCCUCUUGAUUCCCUCUUCUCCCUCCCUAUUUGGAAGCCAUUUCUGGCUUCUCACAUUGCUAUUGUGUGCUAAGCUGGAGAAAUUAAAAAAUUUAUCCCGAACUCUAUGCACUUCCAGACUGGCAGCCAAUACAUGUCGUAUAUAGAUCCAUGAUGAAAUAUAUAUGGUUUAUGGUGAUUUAAUAAGUUACUCCUUUCUCCAGAACAGGAAUCUUACCAGAUCCCUGGUGAUGGUAACUUGGCCCAGAAUAUAGUAUCUCAAUUCCUACUUCUCUUGUAAGGUGGGUCACAAGUAAUUUGUUACCAUUCAUAGUUUGGAAGUAAUUACCUGUGGAUUCAUAGUUAUCCUAUAAUAACAGAAUACUUUCUUGCAUUCUAUUGCGCUCCCUUGAGAAAGAGAAAAAGCAAUUAAGACACAGCUGCCAUGCAGGGAAUUGCAGAAGCCCAGCCUACUUUGUCUGUGUCACAUACUGAACUGGAAUAAUGGCUCAGGUACCUAACUAGCACCUUGGAAUAAAAAAGACCAAGAAGCACUGCCUUCACAUUUAGUAUGACUAGAGGUGUAAUUUCUUGUUUUAUUGCGUGUGUAACGAGAUCUUAUUUUCUUUUUGUGGGGAGAAUGGAUGGCGGGGAGUAAUAAUCAUUCAUAAGCCAUUAAUGUUUGCAUUUAGAAUGCCAGUGUCAGGAGAGUGGGGACUUUGUUUUGUUCACUGCUGUGGCCCCAGCGAGCAGACUAAUAUCUGGCAUAUAACAGACGCUCGAUACACAUUUGUGGAAAGAAGGGAGAAUUGGACAGUCUCCUUUCUCCUGGAGACACACAGGUAUUUCUUUCUCAACCUCUCUGCCUGAGAAGCAUGAUAUGAGGGUAGGAGAAUAGAUUUUAGAGCUAACAAAGCUGCUUGGUUUCAGAUCUGUCCUUUAUUGGGUGUGCCACCUCAUCUGACUUGACUGAUUUUGCACUCUUCAUGUUCUUCUGUAAAAUAAACUACCAAUAUUUACUUCAUUGUGUUGUAAGAAUUAAGUAAUAUGAAAUGCGUGGAAAUUCAGGGUAAGAAACAUUAAAUAAACGAUUUAUCAUUAUUAUUCUUUUUACCACAUGAGGUUAGUUAUGACCAAACUGUAUUUGUAGCUUCUGCAUCAGGAGAAAGUGAUGGAUGUUUCCCAAUACUGAGAGAGUCUUUGGGAUGGAAGAAUGAACUGUUCAGGUUAGUCCUAUGGGAAAGUGCAGAUUUGAGAAAUAGAAAUUUAUGCCAAGACCAGGGCCUUUCUCCACCUAAAUUUUAUUAGACAUGGGUUAAGUUGGCUCUGAUUAAAGGGAACAAUCAUUUUGAUCAGUUUGGCUCAAAUAACUCUUCAUUUCAGGUGAAAAAAAAGCCAAAUGGUUUCUAAGAGAAGAAGCACAGUAGACUAGAUAGAGCCCGAAGAAUUAGGAACUCUAGCCUCAACUCCCUAAAUGCCUUGUGGAAUUAAUUUUCUCAUCUGUAAAAUGGGUAUGAAAAUCCCUGCCUUCUCUCUUACUUAGGGCUGCUGGGAGGGCUGUGUCAGAGAAUGGACUGAAAUGUCCUAUAUUAACCUUUGGAACCCUGUACCUUUCUUAGAGGCUACCAUUUUUUUUUUUUGGGGAAUUUAGUCUGGUCAAUUAGUGACUGAGAAUGGCCAAUCCUGGUAAAGACUAAGGCAUGAUGGCAGGCGAGAAUGUGAGAGCGUGGUAAACACAUGACACACCGAUUUUUUGCAGUAUCGCCUUUUAGACCAUGAAUGGUGCUUCCUGCUGCAGAUCUGAGAAAGCAUGGGAACAAACACCCCCAAUCCAAGAGAAAGAGGGAUGCCUUACUCUCUUGCAGGAAAAAUGCCUGAAGCUUCCGGGCUGGAAGCAGGAGAGUUAAACACUGUUGCUCAUGGAGAAAUCAAUACCAGCCUCAGUUCUGUUCUGAAGAAUGAGACAGCUCUGUUCCAGUUGGGGUGGGAUGUGUGAAGGAUGUGAUAGCCUGUUCGGGGCCUAGCUUGGCCAGCAAUUGGUAAGGAAGCAACUUGAUAACCCCAGAUGACUGUGACAGUGAAACCCACCGGGGACUUGAAAAUGAGAAUGUCAGUACAUUGCUUUUAUUUAUCUUUUUCUUAAAGACAGAAGGGGAAAAGUUUUAAGGCAAAUAUUGUCUUGAAAUGAUGGAAUGUUUUCAAAAUCUUUGCUGUUAAACUAGCCCAAGAUCUGGGCCUGGCGUACAUCGGAUAGCUUCAAGCAGGUUUUGACUAUGGGAUCAUAUGUUGAUCAGAGAAGCCCAGUAGAUGAUACAGAUAAAAGUGGACCUCUUCUAGCUGAAGGGGAAUAGAGGCCACUGGGAUGGCCGCUGACUAGGUUAUUUGCCCAGUGAUUGUCAUCUUUAGGAUGACAAUCUUCGUGUUCUCUUAGCUCUGGCCACUCUGCUCAGGUUGCCCAGCCCAGUCAGGUCACUCAAAUGCUGCCCCUUUCUGCUGGGCCUCUCAAAGUCAUCAGGGACGACCUGGAUGCUUGGGACUAGGCUUAUCUCAUCUCUUAUCUCUGAAGUGUAUAGCGUAGUGCUGGCACCUAAGGAGGUCAGUGUGCCCUUGCUAAAUUUACCUGGAUUUUCCAUGCGGUCCACCUUUCUGUUACCACCUAGACCUGAGUUCUUCCGCGUUCUUCUGUCCAUCUUUGGAAUCUGUUCUCUGAUUUCUUGGCUCCUUCAGGUCUGGGCUAUUCUACUGAUAUUGGGAAUUUUAUUAAAAUAUUAAGGGGUAAUAUUUGGAUGGAGGCUUUGAAUUCAGUGGAGAUAGAUGGGGGCCUUGAAUGCCAAGAGGAACAUGACUAGGUGUUAAACAAGACGACUCUGCACAACUUAUUUAUGCAUGUCUACAUCCACUCAGCGAACACUUAUUGAGCAUCUAACGUGUGUCUGACACUGUUCCAGAUGAUGGAAAUAACAGCAGAGAAAAACAAAUAGAGUCCCUGCGCUUAAGGAGCUUACCUUCCAGUGGAGGGAAACAGAUAUAAAUGGCAUGAAAAAAUGAACAAGAAAUAAUAGAUACCACAAUGAUAACUGUGAUAUAACAGGGUGGCUGGUGCUCUGGGUGUGUGGUCAGGAAAACUUCCCUAGAAGGGAACUGAGUGAAGAGGGAGCUAGUCCCACAGUGAGCAGAGGAAGAGCAUUUCAGCAAGAGGAGACAAUUAGCGCCAAGGCCCUCCGAUGCUUCCAAAAGCAGGGUGGGAGCACGACAAUAGAUGAGUUCAGAGAGAUCAGAAGGGCCCACGUCUGAUAGGGCUCUGUAAGCCAGGGCAAGUGAUGCGAUGUUAUUCUUUUUGUAAUUAAAUUUUUUUUCUUUAAAUUUAAGAACUUUAUUAACAGGUACUUGCAGUUUGUUGACUUUUUUGGAAAAAUCAAGUUGUAAACUUUUAUUACAAAUUAAAAAUGAGGUUCUUAAAAAUCUCAGCUUGACCGGAUAUGAAACAAUUAAAAAAAGCUGUAAGGGUGUAUUUGGAAAAAGCAGGCUUAAAAAAAGAUCAAACACGUUUGUCAUUACUAAAAAGAUAUCUUUAGGUAAAAAUAAUAAAAACCCCACGCUGCAUAGAUAAUGCAGAAAGUUCUAGUUGCCUGGUCAACGGGCAAAAAGCAAGCACUUAUGGUCUUCAGCUCCAAUCUUUUGUUCGUUUCUUAUUGCUGAAAUUUCAUGUUCAUUUCUUCUUCUUGGAUGACUAAACCGGAUGGUGGUAGAGAUGGUAAACCAGCAUUUACUCAGCCUUGCCCUGCUCAGCCUUGGGAGUGGAUGAUUCUUAGCUGCUGGAUCGGCUGCUUUGGUCUCCUAUGGUUUAGGCUUGUCUGAGCACCUGCGUUGGUAGUUGAAGUUGCUGUGGUACCGCCUUGGGUCUCCUGUCCUCGAUUUUCCUCGUCUUCCUCAUUGUGGUCCUCUCUUGGCUGUCUUUGGUGAGGAGGGCCCCUGCAGAAUCCUGGUCUCUAACCCCGAUGCAUAUUCUGUCCCACUGGUCUACCCUGUUCUCCCACACCCUGGUUGUCAGUGCCCUGAGUCACUUCUUCCCGCACAGGAGGGACGGAACACUGUGGUGACACCCUCAGAGUUUCUGCAGGUAGUUAAGAUGGGACCUGGCCUUUGGGAGCAUUCUCUUAUCCCUCAUUCUUACCCACUUCACUCACUAUUCUGGUAAUCCUGCUGGCAAUUGCGUGGAGGACCCCUGCGAGGUGGGUAGAGGUGCCUCCAUCAUGGUUAGUCUGCUGCAUCGUGACUGCCUUGUGCUGGAACUCCACCUGGGCCUGUAGCAUUUGCUGCCUCUGAGUCCUUUGCUCCUUCAACAACAUCAACCUCCACAGUCUCUCCAUCUCCUACACUGUGGAGGCACUUCCUGGGUUGUUCUUGUUUGUGGCAGUCUGGUGUACAAAUACAUGUAGCUUGAUGUCAUUCCUGUUCAUGAAAUCACAUCUAUUUCUUACAUUGAACCAAUUAACUUUUCCCAAAGCUUCAUUUCACUGACAUUCUUGUCCCCACAGGCAGGUGCCACUCACUUGAGCGUAUCUGCUCGCUGAGCGUCUGCCUGUGGUGCAUGGCUUUGUGUCACAGAGCUGAGGGUGGGCAGGGGUGGCAUGGGACCGCUGGGUCUCGGCCUCCCUGCUUGUGGUUGUGGUGAUGACGACUGAUCAUGAUGGUGACAGAUGAUGACGGUGACUCCUAGGGUGUGAUGGUAACUAGGCCAGUGGUGGCUGUGGGGCUGCUCGGAGCUCCCUGGGGUCAGCUUUCUGCUCCCGCUAUCGAUCUGCAAUGUUAUUCUUAAUGUGAUGAGAAGACGUUGGGUGAUUUUUAAAAAAUCAAACCUUCUAUUUUGAGAUAAUUGUAAAUUUACAUGCAGUUUAAGAAAUAAUGUGAGAGAUCCUGUGUUACGCUAUGCUCAGUUUCCCGCAGUGCUCACAUCUUGAAACAUUGUAAUGCAAUGUCACAACCAGCAUGUUGACAUUGAUGUAAUCCACUGGUCUUCUUCAGAUUUCCCGUUUUACUUUACGUACUCAUUUGUGUGUGCACGUGCAUGUGCAUGUGUGUGUAUUUAGUUCCGUGCAACUUUAUCACUUGUGUAGAGUCGUGUAUCCAUCACCACAGUCAAGAUACAGAACAGCUCCAUCACCAUGAGGGGGCUUCCUGUUGUCUUUUCAUGGUCACAUCCAGGUCCCUCCCACCCCCAUUCUCAGCCCUUACCCCUGGCAAGCACUAAUCUGGUCUCCAUUGCUAUAAUUUUGUCAUUUCAAAAAUAUUGUAUAUAUGAAAUUUGCAGUAUGUAACCUUUUGCGAUUGGCUUUUUUUCAACAUCAAUAUAUAUCAGUAUGCAUGUAUCAAUAGUUUGUUUCGUCUCAUUGCUGAGUAAUAUUAUAUGGUUUUACUUGUGAAUGUAAGUUUUCUUUCUUUCUUUUUUUUUUUUGGAGGAAGAUUAGCCUGAGCUAACUACUACCAAUCCUCCUCUUUUUGCUGAGGAAGACUGGCCCUGAGCUAACAUCCGUGCCCAUCUUCCUUACUUUAUAUGUGGGAUGCCUACCACAGCGUGGCAUGCUAAGCGGUGCCAUGUCUGCGCCCAGGAUCCGAACUGGCGAACCGCGGGCCGCUGAGAAGCAGAACGUGCGAAUUUAACCACUGCGCCACUGGGCUGGCCCCGUGAAUAUGUGAAAUAGAGAAACAGAGGAAGAGAGAAGAGGCAGAAGGCACGGUUGCAAAACGGGUUGUAAACAUGAGAGAUCUUACUACUGCCCUCUGUUCUUGGGCUUUUGGAGACACAUCCUUCAAAGGACACAUCCUCCAAGGAAAGCUGACCUUUUCUUAGCAGACCUGAAAGGACUACACUGUGGCCCACGGGAAGUUCUUUACACUUCUCAAAAUUCAUAACGAGAACAAGAAGUUUGCCUGGAGUCCAUUUAGUGAUUUAUUUCAGGAUGUCUGGCAUGGGCAGCUCAUGGGACGCAUAUCAAGCAGGAAGUGAGGCCCUUGGACUGAAUAAACAGCUGAAGACAGAAGUGGUGGCUGAGCUUCAGACAGGGCAGAGGUGACCUGGCAUCAAACCAGCCGGCACAACUCCUUUCCUUCCUGUUCAUUUGGAUGAUUAUUAAACCUUUGUGACUUCAGGGAGUUGCAGUCCCCAACUGUACAAUUGGGACACCGUGAGGAUUCAGUGGGAUAAGGCAGGGGGCAAUGUGCAAGGACUGGAGAAAGGCCUCUGGGAACUAAGGGUGGCCCCAGUUGACCCUCACCAAGAAAACAGGACCACGGUCCUACAACCGUAUAGAUGAAUUCAGCCAACAACCAAAUGACUCUGGAAACAA
rnacentral:lncRNA from 1 species